rnacentral:rRNA from 1 species
UACGAAGGGGGCUAGCGUUGUUCGGAAUUACUGGGCGUAAAGGGCGUGUAGGCGGAUGUGCAAGUCCGUUGUGAAAGCCCCCGGCUCAACCGGGGAAUGCCAGCGGAUACUGCAUGUCUUGAGUGCGGGAGGGAAGAGUGGAACUCUUGGUGGAGCGGUGAAAUGCGUAGAUAUCAAGAGGAACGCCGGUGGCGAAAGCGGCUCUUUGGCCCGUAACUGACGCUGAGGCGCGAAAGCCAGGGGAGCAAGC